GACGAACGCUGGCGGCGUGCUUAACACAUGCAAGUCGAACGGAAAGGCCCUGCUUUUGUGGGGUGCUCGAGUGGCGAACGGGUGAGUAACACGUGAGUAACCUGCCCUUGACUUUGGGAUAACUUCAGGAAACUGGGGCUAAUACCGGAUAGGAGCUCCUGCUGCAUGGUGGGGGUUGGAAAGUUUCGGCGGUUGGGGAUGGACUCGCGGCUUAUCAGCUUGUUGGUGGGGUAGUGGCUUACCAAGGCUUUGACGGGUAGCCGGCCUGAGAGGGUGACCGGCCCAAUGGGGCUUAGAUACGGCCCCAAACCCCGCGGGGGGGCAGGGGGGGGGAAAAUGGCACAAGGGGGGGAAGCCUGAUGCAGAAACGCCGGGGGCGGGAGGAGGGCCUUGGGGUUGUAAACCGUUUUGCCCUGGGACGAAGGGGGAGGGGCGGAAAUGGGAAAAGAAGCACCGGCAGACUACGU
rnacentral:rRNA from 1 species